AAUAGGUUUGCUAGCUGAUUGUAUAUAUACGCAGGCCAAUGCUUCUAAUUACAUAGCAAGCUCGCUUGCUAUGAAAUAGGCAACCAGUAAUAUAAGCAAGUGUGUGCUAUUUAUAGCGCUAGCCUACAAACCUAUAAUUAUAUUAACUCUAAGAGAAAUUUAAUAAUAAACGAAGUGAAUUGAAAUAUCUUAGUAACUUUAGGAAAAGAAAUCAAAAGAGAUUCUAUGAUUAGCGUGAGCUAAAAUAGACUAGCCUAAAAAGUCAAAUGGUGGAUAAACUGUUUAAAUUAAAUGGGGAACCUUCCUCAAAGGCUAAAUAUAAUAUAUAAGCGAUAGUGGAAAGUACCGUGAGGGAACCAAAACAAAAACAGUGAUUUUAUAAGCAGUUCGGGAAAAUAAAAAAAAAGUUAGAACGUACCUUUUGCAUAAUGGGUCACCAAGUUAACAUUAGAUGCGAGUAGGAGGGAGCUUUAUAAAAAAAAUAUAUUUUUUUUAUAGCCCCGUGUAUACGUAGUUAAACCGAGCGUUAAAAUAACGGUAAGUAUCUAAAGUUAGACCCGAAGCCUGGUGAUUUUACCAUAAUCAGGAUUAUAAAAGUCCGAACGGAAUAUUGUAGCAUAAAUAUCCGAAGAAUUAUGGUAGGUGUAGUGAAAGACAAUACUGACCAGGAUAGCUGGUUUUCUGCGAAACCUAUAACAGUAGGCAAUUUAAGUAUAAUAUCUUAGCAGGUACAGAAUUUAAUCUCAGACAAGACAUAAGGCUUAGCUUGCUAGCAAGUAAAGCUCAUGUUUUAUUUUGUACAAAUUGGGGGAUCAUGAAGAUUUUAUCAGUGAGUAUGUAGACUCGGAAUGGCAAAGAUAUAUCUUAAAUCAUCAGACAUAGAAUGAUAAGGUUGUAUGUCAAAAGGGAAACAGCCCAGAACAAGAGUUAAGGUUCCUAAAUUAUUAGUUGAGUGAAAUUAAGAAGGUUUUUAUUAAAGUCGACAAGGAGAUAGGCUUAGAAGCAGCCAUAAUUUUAUGACCUCGUAACAGAGCGCUUGUUAAGUUUUAAAAGCAUCGAAAAUUUAUCGGAUCUAAACAAUAUACCGAAACCUUGUCCAUAUUAUUUUAUAAUUAAAGCUUAAUUAUAAUUAAAUGGGGUAGCAGAACGUUGAGCUAAAUUAAGAUUUUUAUUUUUUAAAUGAAAUUAUAAUAAUUUAACUCAAGUGAUAAUGGUGACAUGAGUAACUAAAAGAAAAAAUAAAAUUUUUCCGCCUAAAGCUUAUGGAUGUAAUUAAGUAACGGCCUCUAAGUUUAUAUUAUCUAAAGAUUUAAACGAUGAGAUAAUCUUUUGUACUAAGGACGACAUUUUAAGUGGAAAAUGUACUGGAAAAAUAGUACUAAAUUAAUGGCUAUAGCUAAUUAGGGCUAUAUAAAAAAAUAUAUUUUUUUUUAUAUAGCUCGCUAUAGCUAUAAAUGAAAAGUAACCGUACCUAGAAUCUGAAACAAGUAAGCUAGUAGAGAAUACGAAGGCGUAAAUGAGCUAACAAUCAUAAAGGAACUCGGCAAAUUGACUACCGUAACUUCGGGAUAAGGAGAGCUCAUUAUUCUUGAUUAAUAUCAGGUAAAGAGGAAGAAGCAUGAAAUAGUGUUGUACGACUGUUUAAUUAAAACACAGCACUUUGCUGAAAGAUUAAAAAUCUAAGUAUAGAGUGUGAUGUCUGCCCGGUGCCGGCUGGUUAACAGAUAUAAUUAAAUAUACUAAUAUUUGAUGUAGACGGAAACCCCGGUUAAAGGCGGCCUUAACGUGAGGGUCCUAAGGUAGCGAAAUGCCUUGGCCGUUAAAUGCGGUCUUGCAUGAAUGAUGUAACGAUACAACAGCUGUCUCUAUGAUUGACUCAGUGAAAUUGGAAUAGCUGUGCAGAUACAGUUUACCUCUAGUUAGACGAGAAGACCCUAUGCAGCUUUACUGUCACUAAUUAUAGAGUAUGAUAAACAAUUUUCAGAUUAUAAGGUAAUUGACGGCUAGCUUGUUCAGCAAGCUAGCUCUAUGACAAUGAGAAUCCUUUAUUUUUUUUUCAUAUGAAUGAAUUGGUUUAGGAUUAUGAGUAGGUAGCUGCUUCUGCUACUUGGCGCAAGCAUUGCUUGCGUCAGGUGUCUGAAGUAUGCAUUCCAGCUCAUGCAUAGUAAAUCAACCUAAUUCAGCUUAUUUUCCUUUCUGCCAUAAGCGCAUAAUGAUAGAUUUAACUUAAAUUUUGAUUUAUGCCAGCUGCAGAAAUAGAUAAGUACCCUUGGCUAAGGAACUAUCGCUAGGGGACAGUUUAUGUGGGGCACAGACCCUGUAAAGAGUAAACAGGAGUGUCUAAUAAUUUAUAAUUAUUUUGUUUGCGAUUUAAGAUAGUGAAACUAUUUUUAAUCAUAUAAAAUUAUUUAUAUGUACAUUCGUUGUAUAUAUAUUUAAAAAAAGGUAGGAUUUUCACUAUAUAGAAAUUAGAGAUAAUAAAAAUAUUAAGAGUAUACCUUUCAGGUAGCACUAAUAUUUUUUAGCUAUUAAGACAGGCUAUCAAGCUAGGCUCUAAUAGUUAUGUAUUAAUUAUCUAAAAAGCUCAACGGCUAAAUCUUGCCUUACUGUUUGAUUAUCAACAAAUCUUACAGUUGCGUAAGCAGGGCAUAGGAUCACAAGAUGCAACAAGGAAAGAUCUUGGAUUAUUGGAAAAGCUACGCUAGGGAUGUUUGUCCUUUAAUAUUUUAUUACACAGCGGUUUUAGUUAG
rnacentral:rRNA from 1 species